rnacentral:lncRNA from 1 species
GGAAGCGCCGUACCAUUAAUAAAGAAAUGAACAUUUCACAAGACAACCUAUCGGCUAAGACCCAUUCUUCUUUAUGAAUAAGCAACUCGGGCAUAAACUCCCGACUCCUCAACAGAGCCUAUGAGGGCAAGGCCUCUUUCUGAUCAACUCGCUGAGAUCAUUGGAAUUGAAUAUUGAGAUGCCUGGGCUUUCUGAGAUGCUUCCGAGUCAAAUCAUCAUUUGGUACUUGAUUCGGCCCCAAAGCAAGAAGAUUUAGAGGGGUGUCGCCUUGCUUUGAGCCUAGAUACCGUUCAUUACUAAUAUUACCUUCUUUCGUAGGAAAUUUGGCAUCAUUGCUUGGUUGCCGAAAGGAAUUUUCAAU